rnacentral:rRNA from 1 species
ACUCGUAGAAGACGAGUUCGAUAGACUCGGGGUGUACGCACCGAGGCAACGAGGUGUUCAGCCCGCGAGUACUAA